rnacentral:misc_RNA from 1 species
AUAAGAGACAGGUGAGUCAUCGAAUCUUUGAACGCACAUUGCGCCCUUUGGUAUUCCGAAGGGCAUGCCUGUUCGAGCGUCAUUAUCAACCCUCAAGCCCGGCUUGUUGUUGGACUCGGUGAGGUCAUCCUCACCGGCCUCAAAGAUAAUGACGGUGUCUGGAGGACCCUCGGUACAAUGAGCUUUCUAAGCACGUACUGAAGUGGACUUCGAGGCCCGGUCUCUUUUAACUAUUUAUAAGGUUGACCUCGGAUCAGGUAGGGAUACCCGCUGAACUUAAGCAUAUCAAUAAGCGGAGGA